CCCUCAUGACCGCCAUGGGCGAGUCCCUUGACGGGUACCAGGAAUAGGGGGAGAACAACCUGAAGGUAAUUCACUUCGUACACAACAUCAGCCUCCAGGCCUCCACCGAGUACGGAAGGAAGCCGCAGCUGUUGACUAAGAUCACUGAAACCCCACCUGAUGUGUUGGUAGUUGGCGAUCAGAACGCCUUCGCGUACUACCUUCAGGCACGGACUGUAGCGGAUGUGCAGGUUUUUGACCAGGUGAAACUGAAUAUCGACAAGGCACAGGAGAAACAGAAGGAGAGCUACCGGAACAGAAUCAAGAAGGGGACCAAGUGCUACGGCAUCCAGGCAAAAAUGGUUACCAUCUUGGAUGGUUGACCACUGAAAGCCCUGAUGCCCUAAACCUCAGUGAAGCCCAAUAGAAAAAGUAUGUUAAGCAUUUGUUGACAUUUGAGAAAGCAAGAAAUUGUAGUUUCUAAAAAUAUACCUCUUCAAUUUACCUCCAAAUUACUUUUGGACCAUUGACUGUCCAAGCCCCACCAGAGCCAGUACAUACGGAUCAGUCUGAUUCUCUGUGCUCUGAGUCGGAGGGGGACCAGCUUGAGGAUCUAGGUGUUCUGCCCAACACCCAGAUGGGGAUCCACCUGUCAUCCGUUACCAACCACCCUCCAACUUUUCAUUACAUCAGCUACAGCUACGGUUAUUGUCAUGUUGUAGUUAUCUGAUUAAAGGUUGUCUUGCACUAUCAUGCUAGGCACAUACUAUGUGAGAUACACAGAUUUCCGAAAAACACUAGCACUGCAAAGACUCAGAACAAAGAGAGCAGCAGUGCCUGGACCUUGCAGUCUCCCUCUUCAAGUCUCCAUUCCGUCAUUGGCUGCCUGUUGAGAACAAGUGACAGGCGGAACCUCCGACCCACACAGCAACCACCUCCUCUAUAUUCUACACAACAGAAUUCCGUAUUUUAGUCUGUGAUUGCCGUGUGUGCAAAAAAAUAUGUGAAAAUGUAUUAAUGACACAGCUGUACCGAAAAAAAAAUCACUUUUAUGUAUUAAAAUCUUAAAUAAUUGCCAGGUUGGA